AUUGAACGCUGGCGGCAGGCCUAACACAUGCCAGUCGAGCGGAUGAAGGGAGCUUGCUCCUGGAUUCAGCGGCGGACGGGUGAGUAAUGCCUAGGAAUCUGCCUGGUAGUGGGGGAUAACGUCCGGAAACGGGCGCUAAUACCGCAUACGUCCUGAGGGAGAAAGUGGGGGAUCUUCGGACCUCACGCUAUCAGAUGAGCCUAGGUCGGAUUAGCUAGUUGGUGGGGUAAAGGCCUACCAAGGCGACGAUCCGUAACUGGUCUGAGAGGAUGAUCAGUCACACUGGAACUGAGACACGGUCCAGACUCCUACGGGAGGCAGCAGUGGGGAAUAUUGGACAAUGGGCGAAAGCCUGAUCCAGCCAUGCCGCGUGUGUGAAGAAGGUCUUCGGAUUGUAAGCACUUUAAGUUGGGAGGAAGGGCAGUAAGUUAAUACCUUGCUGUUUUGACGUUACCAACAGAAUAAGCACCGGCUAACUUCGUG
rnacentral:rRNA from 1 species